AAAGGUUAAAUAAUGACAGUGUAGUGUUGGGAAAGUUAUGUUGAAGGUCAGAGGUCAGGUUAGGAAGGUUGUUAGGAACGUUAGGUUAGGAAGGUCAAAGGAAAGUGCAGUUAGGAAGGUCAGAGGUUAGGUUAGGAAAUGACAAAAUUGUAGUGUUAGUAAAGUUAGGAAGGUCAGGUUAGGUGUGUAGUGUUAGGAAGGUUAGGAAGGUCAAAGGUUAGAUGUGUAGUGUUAGGAAGGUUGACAGUGAGCAGAUUAAGUUAGGAAUGUGAGUUUGUAAUGUCACGUGAAGUUUGGGUUAUGAGAAUGCAGUUAGGAAUGAUGUUAGGAACGGUGACUUAAUAAAUACAUAAAGUAAAUAAAUAGAUAAAGUUUCUAAUGUUUUGUGAAGUUAGGAAUGAUGUUAGGAAUGAUGACUAGAAAAAAAUCAUCAAAAUAAAUUAAUAAAAUGAAAAAGUUUGUAUUUUGUGAAUGAAGUUAGGAAGGUAAUGUAGUUGGGAAUGCAGUUAGGAAUGAUGACAAAACAUGCAUAAAGUUUGUAUUGUUUUGAGAAGUUAGGAAGGUAAUGCAGUUAGGAAUGGUGUUAGGAAGGAUAACAAAAAAUGCAUAAAGAUUGUAUUGUUUUGAGAAGUUAGGAAGGCAAUGCAGUUAGGAAUGAUGUUAGGAAGGAUAAAAAAAAAUGCAUAAAGUUUGUAUUGUUUUGAGAAGUUAUGAAGGCAAUGCAGUUAGGAACAGUGUUAGGAAUACAGUUAGGAAUGAUGUUAGGAAGGAUAACAAAAAAAUCAUAAAAUUUGUAUUGUUUUGAGAAGUUAGGAAGGCAAUGCAGUUAGGAAUGGUGUUAGGAAGGAUGUUAGGAAUGAUGUUAGGAAGGAUAACAAAAAGUGCAUAAAGUUUGUAUUGUUUUGAAGAAGUUAGGAAGGCAAUGCAGUUAGGAACGGUGUUAGGAAUGCAGUUAGGAAUGGUGUUAGGAAGGAU